AACAAGGCGUACCUGCGGACCUGCGGAAGGAUCAUUACGAGAGUGUCACCACUCCCAACCACUGUUUACCUACCCGUCCACUGUGCCUCGGCAGGCAGCCCUGUGGGACAGAGCCUCGCCCCCCCGCCGCGGGGGGUGCCUGCCGCUGGCCGACCAACAACUCUAGCUGUUUAGUACCAUCUGAGUCUUCCACAAAUGAACAAAACUUUUAACAACGGAUCUCAGAUCGGAAGAGCACAC
rnacentral:misc_RNA from 1 species